UAGAUUGAAGCCAGUUGAUUAGGGUAUUUAGCUGUUAACUAAAACUUCGUGGGAUCAUAGCCCACCAAUCUAG
rnacentral:tRNA from 1 species